rnacentral:rRNA from 1 species
GACGAACGCUGGCGGCGCGCUUAACACAUGCAAGUCGAACGGACAGGCCUGCUUUCCCUUGUGGUUUGCGGGUACUCGAGUGGCUAACGGGUGAGUAACACGUGAGUGAUCUGCCCCCAACUUGGGUAUAAGCCUGGGAAACUGGGUCUAAUUCCCGAUAGGACUGCAGGGUGGUGCCUUUGGUGGAAAACGUUUUUCUAGUGGUUGGGGAUGAGCUCGCGGCCUAUCAGCUUGUUGGUGGGGUAAUGGCCUACCAAGGCGGGGACGGGUAGCCGGAGGGAGAGGGUGGACGGUGACAUUGAGACUGGGAUACGGCCCAGACGGCUGCGGGAGGCAGCAGUGGGGAAGAAUGGGGAAUGGGCGGAAGCCUGAAGCAGCGAGGCAGCGUGGGGGAUGUCGGGCUUCGGGUUGUAAACUACUAUGGACCGAGAGGAAGGCACGUGGUUGGACGGGUGGUGACGGUAGUGGUAGAAGAAGCACCGGCUAACUACGUG